CCAAUGCGGCUGCUAUACAUGCAGUUGAGCGCUGAGGUUGGUACUUGUACCAACUGGAUGAGCAGCGAACGGGUGAGUAACGCGUGGGGAAUCUGCCUUUGAGCGGGGGACAACAUUUGGAAACGAAUGCUAAUACCGCAUAAAAACUUUAAACACAAGUUUUAAGUUUGAAAGAUGCAAUUGCAUCACUCAAAGAUGAUCCCGCGUUGUAUUAGCUAGUUGGUGAGGUAAAGGCUCACCAAGGCGAUGAUACAUAGCCGACCUGAGAGGGUGAUCGGCCACAUUGGGACUGAGACACGGCCCAAACUCCUACGGGAGGCAGCAGUAGGGAAUCUUCGGCAAUGGACGAAAGUCUGACCGAGCAACGCCGCGUGAGUGAAGAAGGUUUUCGGAUCGUAAAACUCUGUUGGUAGAGAAGAACGUUGGUGAGAGUGGAAAGCUCAUCAAGUGACGGUAACUACCCAGAAAGGGACGGCUAACUACGUGCCAAUUCAGCCGCGGUAAUACGUUAAGGUCCAAGAGCAUUGUCCGGAUUUAAUGGCGCGUAAAGCGAGCGCAGGUGGUUUAUAAAAUCUAGGUGUAAAAGCGCAGUGGCUACAACCAUUGUAUGCAAUGGAAACUGGUAGACUGGAGUGCCAGGAGGAGGAAAGCUGGAAUUCCAUGUNGUAGCGGUGAAAUGCGUAAGAUAUAUGGAGGAACACCAGUGGGCGAAGAGCGGCUCUCUGGCCUCGUAACUGACCACUGAGAGGCUCGAAAGCGCUGGGGGAGCAAACACGGAUAGAGUAUACCCUGGUAGUCUCACAGCCGUUAAAACGAUGAGAUGCUCAAGAUGUUAGAGGAGUCUACAGAGCUUCUCAGUGACUCGCAGCUUAACGCAAUAAGCACUCCGCCUGGGGAGUACGACCGCAAGGUUGAAACUCAAAGGAAUUGACGGGGGCCCGCACAAGCGGUGGAGCAUGUGGUUUAAUUCGAAGCAACGCGAAGAACCUUUACCAGGUCUUGACAUCACUCUGUGCUACUCUAGAGAUAUGAGCUUGUUCCUUCGGGGACACGAGAUGACAGGUGGUGCAUGCUUGUCGUCAGCUCGUGUCGUGAGAUGUUGGGUUAAGUCCCCGCAAACGAGCGCAACCCCUUAUGUUAGUUGCCAUCCAUUAAGUGGGCCACUCUAACGAGAACUGCCGGUGACUAACCGGAGGAAAGGUGGGGAAGACGUCAAAUCAUCUAUGCCCCUUAUGGACCUGGGCUACACACGUCAUUCAAUGGGAUAGUACAAAGAGUUAGCUAGACCAGCACGUCCUAUGCAAAUCUCAUAAAGCUCAUUCUCAGUUCGGGAUGUAGGCUGCAACUCGCCUACAUGAAGUCGGAAUCGCUAGUAAUCGCGGAUCAGCACGCCGCGGUGAAUACGUUCCCGGGCCUUGUACACACCGCCCGUCACACCACGAGAGUUGGUGAAGUACCCGAAGUCGGUGGCGGUAACCGUCAAGGAGCGCAGCCGCUUAAGAAUGAAACUACGAAA
rnacentral:rRNA from 1 species